UCCCUCUCAGGAUGGCACCUGGAGAGUUUCCAGUACUCUACCAGUCUUGGCUAUGGGAGGGAGAGUCAAGCAGAGGCCUGUCCAUUCCAUUCCUAGCUUGAGCAGUGGCUAGCGAGUGGAAGGCCAUCUGCUACACGU
rnacentral:snoRNA from 1 species